UAUUGGUCAAUGGCCGAAAGGCUGAACCAGUCACCUAGAAGGACGGAUACAUUAAUUUGAUAAAGUCCUAACGGAAAGGAGGAUAAUGACUGUACUUUCCUAUUAAUCCCGACCAAUCUCGUGCCAGCAGUCGCGGUAAUACGAGAGGGGUAAGCAUUAUUCAUCAUUAAUGGGUCUAAAGGGUACGUAGGCUGUAUCAUAAGACUGAAAGGUAUCGAACUAAAUGAAUAAGAGUUUUUCAGUAACUAUGAAACUAGAGUGUAAUGGAGGAAAGAGGAACUCCGAGAGUAGGGAUGGAAUCUGUUGAUCCUCGGAAGACCGCUUAAGGCGAAGGCUUUUUUCUAACUAAACACUGACGUUGAGGGACGAAGG
rnacentral:rRNA from 1 species